rnacentral:rRNA from 1 species
AAGAACCAACAGGGAUUGCCUCAGUAACGGCGAGUGAAGCGGCAAUAGCUCAAAUUUGAAAUCUGGCCCUUUCAGGGUCCGAGUUGUAAUUUGUAGAGGGUGCUUUGGCGUCGGUUGUGGUCUAAGUUCCUUGGAACAGGACGUCACAGAGGGUGAGAAUCCCGUACGUGGCCGCCAGCCUUCGCCGUGUAAAGCCCCUUCGACGAGUCGAGUUGUUUGGGAAUGCAGCUCUAAAUGGGAGAUAAAUUUCUUCUAAAGCUAAAUACUGGCCAGAGACCGAUAGCGCACAAGUAGAGUGAUCGAAAGAUGAAAAGCACUUUGGAAAGAGAGUCAAAAAGCACGUGAAAUUGUUGAAAGGGAAGCGCUUGCAGCCAGACGUGCCCGCAGUUGCUCACCCAGGCUCUCGCCUGGGGCACUCUUCUGCGGGCAGGCCAGCAUCAGUUCGGGCGGUUGGAUAAAGGUCACUUUCACGUAACUGGCCCUCGGGCCUGUCCUUAUAGAGGUGACGCAACACGGCCAGCCCGGACUGAGGACCGCGCAUCAGCUAGGAUGCUGGCGUAAUGGCUGUAAGCGGCCCGUCUUGAAACACGGACCAAGGAGUCUAACAUCUAUGCGAGUGUUUGGGUGUCAAGCCCGGACGCGCAAUGAAAGUGAACGGAGGUGGGAACCCUUUGGGCGCACCAUCGACCGAUCCUGAAGUCUUCGGAUGGAUUUGAGUAAGAGCAUAGCUGUUGGGACCCGAAAGAUGGUGAACUAUACUUGGAUAGGGUGAAGCCAGGGGAAACCCUGGUGGAGGCUCGCAGCGGUUCUGACGUGCAAAUCGAUCGUCAAAUCUGGGUAUAGGGGCGAAAGACUAAUCGA